CCCUUAGAUGUUCUGGGCCGCACGCGUGCUACACUGAUGCAUUCAACGAGUCUAAAACCUGGUCUGAUAGGGCUGGGUAAUCUUUUGAAAGUGCAUCGUGAUUGGGAUAGAUGAUUGCAAUUCUUCAUCUUCAACGAGGAAUGCCUAGUAAACGCAAGUCAUCAGCUUGCAUUGGUUACGUCCCUGCCCUUUGUACACACCGCCCGUCGCUCCUACCGAUUGAAUGAUCCGAUGAAUAUCAUGGAUUGAGAGUACGAAUGGGUUCGCUCAUUUCUGCUGCUCGAGAAGUGAAGUAAAUCUUAUCAUUUAGAGGAAGGAGAAGUCGUAACA
rnacentral:rRNA from 1 species